UACGUAGGGUGCGAGCGUUAAUCGGAAUUACUGGGCGUAAAGCGUGCGCAGGCGGUUUUGUAAGCCAGAUGUGAAAUCCCCGGGCUUAACCUGGGAACUGCAUUUUAGACUGUAUGACUGGAGUACUGUAGAGGAUAGUGGAAUUUCCGGUGUAGCGGUGAAAUGCGUAGAGAUCGGAAGGAACACCAGUGGCGAAGGCGGCCAUCUGGACCAGCACUGACACUGAGGCACGAAAGCGUGGGGAGCAAACAGG
rnacentral:rRNA from 1 species